UACGAAGGGGGCGAGCGAGGGCCGGUUUUAUUGGGGGUAAAGUGCACGUCGGCGGCCGAGCAGGUCCGUUGUGAAAACUGAAGGCUCAACCUUCAGAGGUCGAUGGAAACCGUUCGGCUAGAGUCCGGAAGAGGAGAGUGGAAUUCCUGGUGUAGCGGUGAAAUGCGCAGAUAUCAGGAAGAACACCCGUGGCGAAAGCGGCUCUCUGGGACGGUACUGUCGCUGAGACGCGAAAGCGUGGCGAGUGAACAGG
rnacentral:rRNA from 1 species